AGUGAACGCUGGCGGUAGGCCUAACACAUGCAAGUCGAACGGCAGCACAGUAAGAGCUUGCUCUUACGGGUGGCGAGUGGCGGACAGGUGAGGAAUACAUCGGAAUCUACUUUUUCGUGGGGGAUAACGUAGGGAAACUUACGCUAAUACCGCAUACGACCUACGGGUGAAAGCAGGGGAUCUUCGUACCUUGCGCGAUUGAAUGAGCCGAUGUCGGAUUAGCUAGUUGGCGGGGUAAAGGCCCACCAAGGCGAGGAUCCGUAGCUGGUCUGAGAGGAUGAUCAGCCACACUGGAACUGAGGCACGGUCCAGACUCCUACGGGAGGCAGCAGUGGGGAAUAUUGGACAAUGGGCGCAAGCCUGAUCCAGCCAUACCGCGUGGGUGAAGAAGGCCUUCGGGUUGUAAAGCCCUUUUGUUGGGAAAGAAAAGCAGCAGGUUAAUACCUCGCUGUUCUGACGGUACCCAAAGAAUAAGCACCGGCUAACUUCGUG
rnacentral:rRNA from 1 species